CUGCUAACGCGGUGCUAAUACCGGAUGUGAUCAUUGGAACGCAUGUUUUGAUGAUUAAAAGUGACCUCUCCAUGGAAGUUACCGCUUCGAGAUGGCCUUGCGCCCCAUUAGCUAGCUGGCGGGGUGACGGCCCACCAAGGCUUUGAUGGGUAGCCGGUCUGAGAGGGCGAUCGGCCACAUUGGGACUGAGACACGGCCCAGACUCCUACGGGAGGCAGCAUUAGGGAAUUUUGCGCAAUGGACGGAAGUCUGACGCAGCAACGCCGCGUGAGGGAUGAAGGUCUUCGGAUUGUAAACCUCUGUUGAUUGGGAAGAAUAACGUCGCGGACAAUAACCGCGAGGGAUGACGGUACCAGUCGAGGAAGCCCCGGCUAACUACGUGCCAGCAGCCGCGGUAAUACGUAGGGGGCAAGCGUUGUUCGGAAUUACUGGGCGUAAAGGGAGCGUAGGCGGGUUCGUAAGUUAGGAGUGAAAUCCAUAGGCUUAACCUGUCGGGUUGCUUUUAAUACUGCGAAUCUUGAGUAUUGGAGAGGAUGAUGGAAUUCCAGGUGUAGCGGUGGAAUGCGUAGAUAUCUGGAAGAACACCAGUUGCGUAGGCGGUCAUCUGGCCAAAUACUGACGCUGAGGCUCGAAAGCUAGGGGAGCAAACAGGAUUAGAUACCCUGGUAGUCCUAGCCGUAAACGAUGGACACUAGAUGUUGGAAGAUCUUAUUCUUUCAGUGUCGUAGCUAACGUGUUAAGUGUCCCGCCUGGGGAGUACGCUCGCAAGGGUGAAACUCAAAGGAAUUGACGGGGGCCCGCACAAGCGGUGGAGCAUGUGCUUUAAUUCGAUGCAACGCGAAGAACCUUACCUGGGCUUGACAUGGGAGUGAAAGGCUGCAGAGAUGUGGUCCCUUCCGCAAGGAACACUCUACACAGGUGCUGCAUGGUUGUCGUCAGCUCGUGUCGUGAGAUGUUAGGUUAAGUCCUGCAACGAGCGCAACCCUCGUCCUUAGUUGCCAUCAGGUAACGCUGGGAACUCUAAGGAGACUGCCUGGUUUAACCAGGAGGAAGGUGGGGAUGACGUCAAAUCCUCAUGGCCCUUACGUCCAGGGCUAGACACGUGCUACAAUGGCUGAUACAAUGGGAUGCUACACUGUAAAGUGAUGCCAAUCCCGAAAAAUCAGUCUCAGUUCGGAUUGAAGUCUGCAAUUUGACUUCAUGAAGCUGGAAUCGCUAGUAAUCGCGGAUCAGCAUGCCGCGGUGAAUACGUUCCCGGGCCUUGUACACACCGCCCGUCAAGCCAUGAAAGGUGGGAGUACCCAAAGUCGCCUAUUUAACCGCAAGGAGAGUAGCGCCUAAGGUAAGACCACUGAUUGGGGCUAAGUCGUAACAAGGUA
rnacentral:rRNA from 1 species